UGUUCUUCUUGCAAACAAUCG
rnacentral:piRNA from 1 species